UACGAAGGGGGCUAGCGUUGCUCGGAAUCACUGGGCGUAAAGCGCACGUAGGCGGCUUUCUAAGUCAGGGGUGAAAUCCUGGAGCUCAACUCCAGAACUGCCUUUGAUACUGGAGGGCUUGAGUCCGGGAGAGGUGAGUGGAACUCCGAGUGUAGAGGUGAAAUUCGUAGAUAUUCGGAAGAACACCAGUGGCGAAGGCGGCUCACUGGCCCGGUACUGACGCUGAUGUGCGAAAGCGUGGGGAGCAAACAGG
rnacentral:rRNA from 1 species